UAAUCAUUCAUUAGUAAAUUAGGAGCAUUCCUCACCCAGUGCAUCAGCACCUGAGAGCAAUUCUCUGAAGCCCCAGGAAAGGUGUUAAGCUUUGCCUCAUAAUGGAGGGAUAUUUCAGAAGGGAAACUACUGCUUUUUCAUUUUUGCAAGAUAUAUAAAGCGCAGAUAUGUAAAAAGUGUUAAAACCUGAGCCUGAAGAUCUUUGCAACUGCUCCAGCUCCAGCAGACCACUGUCUGGGAGGUGAAGAAGGUGAGCGGUUGCUGCAUACAGCUGAAGCUGAGUUGUUGUUGGACUGAGGUGAAAGCUCGAAGAGAGUGCUGUGACUCCGUGUCAAGAGAUCUUCUGGCAGCUGAAGAACAGAGCAGAAGAUUUCUGCAACCCAGACAAGUUGCUGUAGAAAUCACACUUGUGAGUAGCAGCUCUUGCCAUGCAUAUUUUACUUUCCAACCUCUGGUUGGAAAGAUGGAGGAGUGAUGGAGAUCCACUGGUCCUCCAGCUGGGGCGUCUUCAUGUCUGAAACCCGAUUUAGAAACUUGAAAGCUCACAGGACCAACUGCACAACCCUGCGGUCAUAUUUCCUGUGCUUGGCACCCUGCCACGGGCACUGGGAGCACGGGUCCGUCGAUGCUGACUGCUGCUUCAUGCUCAAUGAUCUCAUGGAUGUGCAGAGUGAAGAAGGAUAAUCCCCAGCGAAGACAGGGGGCAGGGUUGAGCUGACCUUUGGAAGAGUGAAGAGAGGGAGAUGUUCCACCGCUUCUCUGCCACCACCUUAAAGCCAAUGGGAGCUUAAACUUCAUCUAGGUGAAAAUGAUGGCAAGGAAACGACAGAGGGCAGCUGCUACCUCCGGCUAUGCUCCAUCGGGAGGGUAGAAUAGAAAGGGAGAGGAUGUUUUAGCCCUUGACUGCCAUUUAUUCCAGCACUUACAAAAAAAUAUAUAUAUAUAUAUAUUAAAUCCUAAUCCUGAAACACCUAUUAAAAAGAGUACUAAACCAUGGCAGAAGAGUGUCUGUGAGGUAGGGCUUUUUGCAUUAACCCAGCAGAUUUUUUAUUUUAUUUAUUUUUUACUGUAAAUGAACUCUCACUGGCUUUCUUUAAAGGUCACCUUUUUUAUAACUACUGCGCUGGGAAAAUGCUUUUAAGUUUCAUCUGCUUUGUGUGUGUGCAUUUUCUAAGCCCUGGGUUUACUUCUUAUUGGAAAAUGGUCUUGGAUCAUCUCUGAGUUGGAAAUUUUAUUCUAUUUGUCAGGUGCAUGUGAAAAAGACAUUUUUUUUAACUCUUUAGACACCCAAUUUAUCGUUUUCAUUGGGUGCUCAGCA
rnacentral:lncRNA from 1 species